rnacentral:lncRNA from 1 species
AUGAGAGGAGUAGUCCUAUGAUGAUCGAAAGAUCAAGUCCUUAAGCCCAUGGCCAUGGCAGACUAAAAUAAUGAAAAAGAGUUUUUCAUUGGGGUUUCACAUCGGACUCGAUUGACUGAUGUUGGGUUUGAUGAGUUCACCUUAACCCUAAUUCAGUUGGAACUCAUGAUAGAGAAACUCAAUCACACAGGUAGCUGCACCAAA